rnacentral:rRNA from 1 species
GCUAUACAUGCAGUCGAACGCACAGCGAAAGGUGCUUGCACCUUUCAAGUGAGUGGCGAACGGGUGAGUAACACGUGGACAACCUGCCUCAAGGCUGGGGAUAACAUUUGGAAACAGAUGCUAAUACCGAAUAAAACUUAGUGUCGCAUGACACAAAGUUAAAAGGCGCUUCGGCGUCACCUAGAGAUGGAUCCGCGGUGCAUUAGUUAGUUGGUGGGGUAAAGGCCUACCAAGACAAUGAUGCAUAGCCGAGUUGAGAGACUGAUCGGCCACAUUGGGACUGAGACACGGCCCAAACUCCUACGGGAGGCUGCAGUAGGGAAUCUUCCACAAUGGGCGAAAGCCUGAUGGAGCAACGCCGCGUGUGUGAUGAAGGCUUUCGGGUCGUAAAGCACUGUUGUAUGGGAAGAACAGCUAGAAUAGGAAAUGAUUUUAGUUUGACGGUACCAUACCAGAAAGGGACGGCUAAAUACGUGCCAGCAGCCGCGGUAAUACGUAUGUCCCGAGCGUUAUCCGGAUUUAUUGGGCGUAAAGCGAGCGCAGACGGUUUAUUAAGUCUGAUGUGAAAGCCCGGAGCUCAACUCCGGAAUGGCAUUGGAAACUGGUUAACUUGAGUGCAGUAGAGGUAAGUGGAACUCCAUGUGUAGCGGUGGAAUGCGUAGAUAUAUGGAAGAACACCAGUGGCGAAGGCGGCUUACUGGACUGCAACUGACGUUGAGGCUCGAAAGUGUGGGUAGCAAACAGGAUUAGAUACCCUGGUAGUCCACACCGUAAACGAUGAACACUAGGUGUUAGGAGGUUUCCGCCUCUUAGUGCCGAAGCUAACGCAUUAAGUGUUCCGCCUGGGGAGUACGACCGCAAGGUUGAAACUCAAAGGAAUUGACGGGGACCCGCACAAGCGGUGGAGCAUGUGGUUUAAUUCGAAGCAACGCGAAGAACCUUACCAGGUCUUGACUUCCUUUGAAGCUUUUAGAGAUAGAAGUGUUCUCUUCGGAAACAAAGUGACNGUGGUGCAUGGUCGUCGUCAGCUCGUGUCGUGAGAUGUNGGGUUAAGUUCCGCACGAGCGCACCUAUGUAGGUGCAGAAUCAA